UACAGAGGUCCCAAGCGUUGUUCGGAUUCACUGGGCGUAAAGGGUGCGUAGGCGGUCGGGUAAGUCUGGCGUGAAAUCUCCAAGCCUAACUUGGAAACUGCGUUGGAUACUAUCCGGCUCGAGGAAUGGAGGGGAGACUGGAAUACUUGGUGUAGCAGUGAAAUGCGUAGAUAUGUGGAGGAAUACCGAUGGCGAAGGCAGCCCCCUGGGAUAACACUGACGCUCAUGCACGAAAGCGUGGGGAGCAAACAGG
rnacentral:rRNA from 1 species